GGAGCCGUAAAGGAGCCGCGGCAAAUUUCACGGAUAAUUAAUCCAUUAUUAUUAGCAACUUACGAAAUUUCGGACGCGGGUUCAACUCCCGCCAGCUCCACCA
rnacentral:tRNA from 1 species